UCAAUAUUCAUAUAUCUUCUUCUCCUGCAUGGCUGUUGUUUCUCGAAAGAGGGUGCUGCAACUGUUGGACCGUUUUGACGACAGUGACAUCUCAUAUGUCCAUUCAAUGCUUUGUUAGAAGUAAAAACCUUGUUGCAAACAUCACAUGAGUGUUUCUUCUGUUUUACCACAUCAUUAUGAUUAUGAGCAACAGAAUAAGAAAAACGCCAUAUGAUC
rnacentral:lncRNA from 1 species